UACGGAGGGUGCAAGCGUUGUCCGGAAUCACUGGGCGUAAAGGGUGCGUAGGCGGGUCUUUAAGUCAGGGGGGAAAUCCUGGAGCUCAACUCCAGAACUGCCUUUGAUACUGAGGAUCUGGAGUCCGGGAGAGGUGAGCGGAACUGCGAGUGUAGAGGUGAAAUUCGUAGAUAUUCGCAAGAACACCAGUGGCGAAGGCGGCUCACUGGCCCGGAACUGACGCUGAGGUGCGAAAGCGUAGGGAGCAAACAGG
rnacentral:rRNA from 1 species